GACCGAAAGGAACAAAUAAAAGUGGAGCAGCAAGCGAGCUAUACAACCCUGCUAGCUUCUCCAGAAUGGGUUCGGUGCUGCUCAAAGACUGCGUAGAAGAACUAUUGAAGUUCACUUUGGCGUCUUCGAUCGAUGGUACCUUAGGAAUCGAUCUGGGUCUGUCCAAAGAAUACUGUUCCAACCUUCUCCAAGAAGAUCCAAGCGAAACCACUCCAGUUUCAGCCCCAAAUGGAGUCCCUCCAUAUCCUUUAUAUAAGCAUCUGGCUUCAGCUUUGCAUGAAUCCAUAACUUCUGGAGCCUUUUUUGGGGCAGAGAACAGAAUGGAAUGGAUCCACGAUGACAAUUCCUUGAAGCAGAGAGUUGACUGGAUGGAGCUGGUUUUGAAUAAGGGAUCUGAAUUAGUGAAUGUUUUAAAGCAUAUAGGCUUUGAACUUCAUGUGCAGGAGCCUUUCUUUUCACAAAUAAAAGAUGGCCAAAAAACAAUUGAAGGAAGGUGUGCCUCUGGCAAUUACAAUAGAAUUGGACCAGGAGAUCUGAUUAUUGUCAACAAAUGUGUGGUGCUUGAAGUUCAGGAUGUCCACUGGUAUGCUUCAUUUUCUGAAAUGUUGCAAGCAGAGGGCCUGACAAAAGUUCUGCCUGGAGUGAAAACCAUUGAAGAAGGUGUGCAAGUCUAUAGGAAGUUUUACACUGAAGAUAAGGAAAGGUCUAAUGGGGUCCUUGCAAUUGCUGUUGUGAAGACAGCUGCCCAGCCCUGCAUUUUUUUGGCAAGCUUACUAUCAGGACUUGGUUAUGGUGGUGUUCAGUGCCUUCUAGGUCUCAUGCGUACUGCUGGAACAGUUCCAGAGGGACUUCCUCCUCCAAGAUCUGCUCUUUUCUCUUCAUUUACUUUGCCACACAAGCCAAAUAUUAUGGAUCUUGUACUUUUUGGUUUGAGGUUAAAGGCAGUCUCUUGACCGAGGGAGCCAGGGCACUGGCAAAACACGUUAAUAGGAGUAGCAAUAAAUGGUGGGGCCAUUUCGACGGAAGUGAUUCUAUAAAAAAUAGGCUUGCAAAGGAGGUAAUCAGUCGUCUAUUAGAUCAUUGCUGCUGGUUGAAUGUGCACAUUGCUCCACCACAUGGGGUUGUCUUUGAGAUAAGGGUUGCUGAGGGUUAUGGUGCUCGGUGGUCUAAAGAUGGAACAAAGACAAGGUAACAUGGACCACAUGAAUGGAAUCACUAGGAGGGACCAUCUUUUACAAAAGGAAAGCGAGCUGAUGGAGGCCAAUACAUUUCUCCAAUGAUUGUAUGGAAAUUGUAAAAUAGGAGCUUCGACUUUGUCGUCUUAUUUGUGAGGAAUAACUUUCAUUAAAAUACCUCUUACAACUUUGUUUAAAUACUCACUUUCCUAUGUAAUUAUAAUAUGCUCUCCUUUGACUAGACCAUAUAUUUAAUCUUAGAUUAGGAAUAUUUUUUUGGUACAUUUGCAACAUAUGUGUAAUGAUUUGUGGAUGAUUGCAGAAUGAUAUUGAGCAUAUUUUGUUGUUUGUCA